rnacentral:rRNA from 1 species
GACGAACGCUGGCGGCGUGCCUAAUACAUGCAAGUUGAGCGCUGAAGGUUGGUACUUGUACCAACUGGAUGAGCAGCGAACGGGUGAGUAACGCGUGGGGAAUCUGCCUUUGAGCGGGGGACAACAUUUGGAAACGAAUGCUAAUACCGCAUAAAAACUUUAAACACAAGUUUUAAGUUUGAAAGAUGCAAUUGCAUCACUCAAAGAUGAUCCCGCGUUGUAUUAGCUAGUUGGUGAGGUAAAGGCUCACCAAGGCGAUGAUACAUAGCCGACCUGAGAGGGUGAUCGGCCACAAUGGGACUGAGACACGGCCCAAACUCCUACGGGAGGCAGCAGUAGGGAAUCUUCGGCAAUGGACGAAAGUCUGACCGAGCAACGCCGCGUGAGUGAAGAAGGUUUUCGGAUCGUAAAACUCUGUCGGUAGAGAAGAACGUUGGUGAGAGUGGAAAGCUCAUCAAGUGACGGUAACUACCCAGAAAGGGACGGCUAACUACGUG